rnacentral:rRNA from 1 species
GACGAACGCUGGCGGCGUGCUUAACACAUGCAAGUCGAACGGAAAGGCCUCUUUCGGGGGGUACUCGAGUGGCGAACGGGUGAGUAACACGUGAGUAACCUGCCCUUGACUUUGGGAUAACUUCAGGAAACUGGGGCUAAUACCGGCUAGGAGCUCCUGCUGCAUGGUGGGGGUUGGAAAGUUUCGGCGGUUGGGGAUGGACUCGCGGCUUAUCAGCUUGUUGGUGGGGUAGUGGCUUACCAAGGCUUUGACGGGUAGCCGGCCUGAGAGGGUGACCGGCGACAUUGGGACUGAGGUACGGCCCAGACUCCUACGGGAGGCAGCAGUGGGGAAUAUUGCACAAUGGGUGGAAGCCUGAUGCAGCAACGCCGUGUGCGGGAUGACGGCCUUCGGGUUGUAAACCGCUUUCGCUCAUGACGAAGCUUUGUGUGACGGUAGUGGGUAAAGAAGCACCGGCUAACUACGUG